GCAGUGGUGGUUCUGUGAUAGAAUUCUUGCCCUCCAUGCUGGAGACCUGGGUUCAAGUCCCAGAUGGUGCA
rnacentral:tRNA from 1 species